rnacentral:rRNA from 1 species
GAUGAACGCUGGCGGCAUGCCUAAUACAUGCGAGUCGAACGAGAGGAAGGAAAGCUUGCUUUUCUGGAUCUAGUGGCGAACGGGUGAGUAACACGUAGGUAACCUGCCCAUGUGCCCGGGAUAACUUCUGGAAACGGAUGCUAAAACCGGAUAGGUAGCAGACAAGCAUUUGACUGCUAUUAAAGUGGCUAAGGCCAUUAACAUGGAUGGACAUGCGGUGCAUUAGCCAGGUGGGGAGGUAACGGCCCACCAAGGCGACGAUGCAUAGCCGGCCUGAGAGGGCGGACGGCCACAUUGGGACUGAGACACGGCCCAAACUCCUACGGGAGGCAGCAGUAGGGAAUUUUCGUCAAUGGGGGGAACCCUGAACGAGCAAUGCCGCGUGAGUGAGGAAGGUCUUCGGAUCGUAAAGCUCUGUUGUAAGAGGAAAACGACAUUCAUAGGGAAUGAUGAGUGAGUGAUGGCAUCUUACCAGAAAGUCACGGCUAACUACGUGCCAGCAGCCGCGGUAA